rnacentral:rRNA from 1 species
GGCGGCAUGCUUUACACAUGCAAGUCGAACGGCAGCGGGGGCUUCGGCCUGCCGGCGAGUGGCGAACGGGUGAGUAAUGCAUCGGAACGUGCCCAGUCAUGGGGGAUAACUACGCGAAAGCGUAGCUAAUACCGCAUACGCCCUGAGGGGGAAAGCGGGGGAUCGCAAGACCUCGCGUGAUUGGAGCGGCCGAUGUCGGAUUAGCUGGUUGGUGGGGUAAAGGCCUACCAAGGCGACGAUCCGUAGCGGGUCUGAGAGGAUGAUCCGCCACACUGGGACUGAGACACGGCCCAGACUCCUACGGGAGGCAGCAGUGGGGAAUUUUGGACAAUGGGGGCAACCCUGAUCCAGCCAUGCCGCGUGAGUGAAGAAGGCCUUCGGGUUGUAAAGCUCUUUCAGACGGAAAGAAAUCG